UGAUCCUGGCUCAGAUUGAACGCUGGCGGCAGGCCUAACACAUGCAAGUCGAACGGUAGCAUAUCUUGCUUGCAAGAUGAUGACGAGUGGCGGACGGGUGAGUAAUACUUAGGAACAUGCCUUUGAGUGGGGGAUAACUAUUGGAAACGAUAGCUAAUACCGCAUAACGUCUACGGACCAAAGGGGGCUUCGGCUCUCGCUCAGAGAGUGGCCUAAGCGAGAUUAGCUAGUUGGUGAGGUAAAGGCUCACCAAGGCGACGAUCUCUAGCUGUUCUGAGAGGAAGAUCAGCCACACUGGGACUGAGACACGGCCCAGACUCCUACGGGAGGCAGCAGUGGGGAAUAUUGCACAAUGGGGGGAACCCUGAUGCAGCCAUGCCGCGUGUGUGAAGAAGGCCUUAGGGUUGUAAAGCACUUUCAGUUGUGAGGAAAGGUUUGAGGUUAACAAUUUCAAGCUGUGACGUUAGCAACAGAAGAAGCACCGGCUAACUCCGUGCCAGCAGCCGCGGUAAUACGGAGGGUGCGAGCGUUAAUCGGAAUUACUGGGCGUAAAGCGCACGCAGGCGGUUACAUAAGCCAGAUGUGAAAGCCCCGGGCUUAACCUGGGACGGUCAUUUGGAACUGUGUAACUAGAGUCUUGGAGAGGGGAGUGGAAUUCCAGGUGUAGCGGUGAAAUGCGUAGAUAUCUGGAGGAACAUCAGUGGCGAAGGCGACUCCCUGGCCAAAGACUGACGCUCAUGUGCGAAAGUGUGGGUAGCGAACAGGAUUAGAUACCCUGGUAGU
rnacentral:rRNA from 1 species